UAUAUACUCAUCUGGAUUUAUGAAACACCUUGGCUAUCCAGACCAGAAAUCUAAAUGGCUACUGUGGUUACUAUAGUCUCUAUGAUAGAAAAAUACUGAGGCAAAAAGUCUUCAAGUGAACACUUAAAGACAGUUUCUCGUCCAAUUCCAGCUUCUUUCUCCUUAGACAUUGCAGCAUAUGCAUAUCCACACAUUUAAAGAACCAGUUCCAGAAGAACUGUAGCAGAAGAAAGUCAAAAAGCAAAGCUGGAUGAUGUUGAAAGAUUCAAAGGCAAGCCAAGAAACUGAUUGAGAGGAACAGACAGAAAUCAGACUGGCCUUGGUAAACUAAGGCAUUUCAUGCAGAUGGCAUAAUUAUGAACAGAGAAAAAAGGAAUAGGCACAAGAUCUGCAGAAUAUACAAUCAUCAAAUACUGUUCAUAGAAUAUAUUUGUGAGUGAGGAAAAUGAAGAAUACAUUAGCAGUAUUUCAAAGGAAUUAACUGAGAAGACAAAACAAACAAAGCAUGCCAUUAUGUAAUCUAGCCAUUCAGAGCUGAUCUGUAUUGAGAAAUGACAUCAGAUUCCUCCCUGGUAAGGAAAUGAAGCAAGAGAAAGAGGUGUGGAUUAAUAAAGUAUCAUCAUAUUACAGUGUAAUUUUGUUUAAUAAUGGGCUGUCUCACUAACCCACAUUUAAAUUAAAAUCACUGAGUAAAUGUUGAACAGUACUGCAUGCAUGAAAGAUGGGGCUACUGUAAAAGAAAUUAUCAGUUAGUUCAUGUUAUAAUUGAGGAAGGAAGACUCUACAAUGCCAUUUGGAAUAUUGUGUACAGUGAAAGUGGGAGAUAAUGUCCCCUGAAUAGGGAAAAGUACAAUUAAAUGAUGCCAAACCUUCAGUAAAUCAGGUUUGUGGUAAACAUGGUCACUAAAAAAACAAACACACCUCAACAAAGUCAAGAAUCCAUCAUUUUGUACAUUGGCUACAUAUGCCUCUUCAUCACAAUCUGAUUUUCACUAUUUAAAUUUUUUUUCUUAAAAUUAUACACUAAAAAAUAAUUGGCAAAAGGAAAUAAUUGAAAAUGCCAUUCAAAUUUAGUCUAAACUCAUUUCAUUGUAGAAUUUUAUGUAAAGUUUUCAUUAAUAUUUAUCAAUCCACCUAGUAUUGAAAUCAAUAUUGUACCACUUUACUUCUGAAGUGACUUACCAACAUUCUUCACCUCACAGAAAAUUUUCGUACUUCUUUCUUAUCAGCUUAAUUGAACAACACUGAAACCUAACCACUGCCUUACUAUUAGAGCAGUUUUACUGAAACUUUUGACUCUAUUAUCAAUUAUGCUUAAGAAUAUAGUUGAAAUUCUCAUUGUAUAUUUUCUGCAGUUAACAAGCUAUGACCUUCAGAGCUUAAAGUUCACAGCUGAAAAGAUUACAUAGACUCUUCUAAGGUAUACAAAAAAAUAUAAACGUGUAAUGAAUUUCACAGAAACUGAAAUAUAAAAAGUUCAGAAAGACCUAAUGUUUCCUC